UACGUAGGGGGCGAGCGUUGUCCGGAUUCAUUGGGCGUAAAGCGCGCGCAGGCGGCCUGGCAAGUCGGCCGUGAAAUCUCCGGGCUCAACUCGGAGGGGUCGGGCGAGACUGCGAGGCUGGAGGCGGGUAGAGGGCAGUGGAAUUCCGGGUGUAGUGGUGGAAUGCGUAGAGCUCCGGAGGAACACCAGUGGCGAAGGCGGCUGCCUGGGCCCGGCCUGACGCUGAGGCGCGAAAGCGUGGGGAGCGAUCCGG
rnacentral:rRNA from 1 species